UACGAAGGGGGCUAGCGUUGCUCGGAAUCACUGGGCGUAAAGCGCACGUAGGCGGAUCUUUAAGUCAGGGGUGAAAUCCUGGAGCUCAACUCCAGAACUGCCUUUGAUACUGGGGAUCUCGAGUCCGGAAGAGGUGAGUGGAACUCCGAGUGUAGAGGUGAAAUUCGUAGAUAUUCGCAAGAACACCAGUGGCGAAGGCGGCUCACUGGCCCGAUACUGACGCUGAGGCACGAAAGCGUGGGAGCAAACAGGG
rnacentral:rRNA from 1 species